GCUAAUUUGCUUAUAAGAUAACUUGCUUUCAUCCAAAGAUUUCCUUAUCUUGGAAACUUUGUGAUGUUCUAGGGAGAGAACUGGUUCCUUGGUCAGGUUCUCUCUUGUUGGAGAUGGUCAUUGCCUCAUAUUUGUGUAGCAUGAAUAUCACUUGUGAUAUCACUGAAACCCCAAUAUCAACAUCCUGGGCUUACCAUUGACCAGAAUCUCAACUAGAUUCAUCACAUCAACGCAGUGGCUACAAGACCAGAUCAGACGCUAGGAAUAUUGCAGAAAGUAACUCACCCUCUGACUCCCCAAAGCCUGUCCAUCAGCUACAAUGGACAAGUCAGCAGUGUGAUGGAAUACUCCCACUUGCCUGGAUGGGUGCAGUCCCAACAACACUCAAGAAGCUUGACACCAUCCAGGACAAAGCAGCCCGCUUGAUUGGCACGAUGUUCAGAAGCAUCCGCUCUCUCCACCGCUCACACACAGUUGCAACACUGUGUCCUGUUUACAAGAUGCACUGCAGAAAUUCACCCAAGGUCUUCAGACAGCACCUUCCAAAUGCAGGACCAAGUCUAUCUAGAAAGACAAGGGCAGCAGAUACAUGGGAACACCACCACCUCCAAGUUCCCCUUCAAGCCACUCACCAUCCUGACUUGGAAAUAUAUCAUUGUGUCCUUCACUAUCGCUGAGUCAAAAUCCUAGAACUCCCUCUCUGAUGGCAUUGUGGGUUAACCCACGGAAGGUGGACUGCAGCGGUUCAAGAAGGCAGCUCAUUACUACCUUCUCAAGGGCAGCGAGGGACGGGUAAUAAAUCCUGGCCAGCUAGCGAUGCCCACAUCCUAUAAGUGAAUAUAAAAAAUCGGUUCGGGUGGAGCCAAGAAACAGGAAAGGGAGCAAACAUUGGUUGGAAUUAUUUAUAGUGAUGUAAUGAAGCUGGGAGUUACUCUUUCUGGACAUCAGAAGAAGAUAGUGAGCAGCAUUAAGCAACUGGAAACACAGACCAAGAACAGUCCGGUUGCAGUGUAAACUUAAAGACAAGUCUUUGUGCAACAAUGGAUGUAACCAAUGAGAAUGACACUGUAGUGGUACAGGGAUUGGUAUUAAUGCAAUGGAGGCACAUAGAAAUGUGCAAACUACGAGACCCAUUAAGAUAUAUGGAUUCAGUACUUUAAUUAGAAUAAUUAAAAUCUUUCUUGGAGAUUAAUGAAUGAGAAUGAAGUGUAAUUUGCCACACUGAGGAUCCUUUUGAAACAAGGUAAACAGUUAAAACCUCUUGUCAGAUUCAGAAAUCACUUUCAUUUGAUUUUGAUAUCAUAUAAUGCUCAGUGUGGGGUAAUGGACACUGAGUUGCUUGGUAAAUGAUACUUGACUGCAAAUGACCUCUUGUUAAACUUGCAAAAGCACCACCAAAUGCAUUGAUUCUUAACUACGUGUCAGUAAGCUGGAAUAAACAAUGGACGUCAGUGA